AAGCCCAUGUGGAUGUGAUCACGCCGAAAUGCAAAUUUGGAGACGCACCCUAUAAGGUGCCGGGGCUUC
rnacentral:tRNA from 1 species